AUACGUAGGUGACAAGCGUUAUCCGGAUUUACUGGGCGUAAAGGGCGUGUAGGCGGUCUUGCAAGUCAGAAGUGAAAUUCCUGUGCUCAACUCGGGCGCUUCUUCUGAAACUGCAGGACUUGAGUGCUGGAGGGGAUAGCGGAAUUCCUAGUGGAGCGGUAAAAUGCGCAGAUAUUAGGAAGAACACCGGUGGCGAAGGCGGCUAUCUGGACAGUAACGGACGCUGAGGCGCGAAAGCGUGGGGAGCAAACAGUAUUAGAUACCCGGGUAGUCCACGCCGUAAACGAUGAAUACUAGGUGUGGGGGGACUGACCCCCUCCGUGCCGCAGUUAACACAAUAAGUAUUCCACCUGGGGAGUACGGCCGCAAGGUUGAAACUCAAAUGAAUUGACGGGG
rnacentral:rRNA from 1 species